rnacentral:rRNA from 1 species
UAGGGAAUCUUCGGCAAUGGGGGGAACCCUGACCGAGCAACGCCGCGUGAGUGAAGAAGGUUUUCGGAUCGUAAAGCUCUGUUGUUAAGGAAGAACGAGUGUGAGAAUGGAAAGUUCAUACUGUGACGGUACUUAACCAGAAAGGGACGGCUAACUACGUGCCAGCAGCCGCGGUAAUACGUAGGUCCCGAGCGUUGUCCGGAUUUAUUGGGCGUAAAGCGAGCGCAGGCGGUUAGAUAAGUCUGAAGUUAAAGGCAGUGGCUCAACCAUUGUAGGCUUUGGAAACUGUUUAACUUGAGUGCAGAAGGGGAGAGUGGAAUUCCAUGUGUAGCGGUGAAAUGCGUAGAUAUAUGGAGGAACACCGGUGGCGAAAGCGGCUCUCUGGUCUGUAACUGACGCUGAGGCUCGAAAGCGUGGGGAGCGAACAGGAUUAGAUACCCUGGUAGUCCACGCCGUAACGAUGAGUGCUAGGUGUUAGGUCCUUUCCGGGACUUAGUGCCGCAGCUAACGCAUUAAGCACUCCGCCUGGGGAGUACGACCGCAAGGUU